rnacentral:rRNA from 1 species
UACGAGGGGGGCAAGCGUUGUUCGGAAUUAUUGGGCGUAAAGGGCGCGUAGGCGGUUUGACAAGUUUGAUGUGAAAGCUCAGGGCUUAACCCUGAAAUGGCAUUGAAUACUGUUGGGCUGGAGGUUUGGAGGGGGGACUGGAAUUCUUGGUGUAGCAGUGAAAUGCGUAGAUAUCAAGAGGAACACCAGUGGCGAAGGCGAGUCCCUGGACAACACCUGACACUGAGGCACGAAAGCUAGGGGAGCAAACAGG